AGUGAACGCUGGCGGUAGGCCUAACACAUGCAAGUCGAACGGCAGCACAGGAGAGCUUGCUCUCUGGGUGGCGAGUGGCGGACGGGUGAGGAAUACAUCGGAAUCUACUCUGUCGUGGGGGAUAACGUAGGGAAACUUACGCUAAUACCGCAUACGACCUACGGGUGAAAGCAGGGGACCUUCGGGCCUUGCGCGAUUGAAUGAGCCGAUGUCGGAUUAGCUAGUUGGCGGGGUAAAGGCCCACCAAGGCGACGAUCCGUAGCUGGUCUGAGAGGAUGAUCAGCCACACUGGAACUGAGACACGGUCCAGACUCCUACGGGAGGCAGCAGUGGGGAAUACUGGACAAUGGGCGCAAGCCUGAUCCAGCCAUACCGCGUGGGUGAAGAAGGCCUUCGGGUUGUAAAGCCCUUUUGUUGGGGAAGAAAUCCAGCUGGCUAAUACCCGGUUGGGAUGACGGUACCCAAAGAAUAAGCACCGGCUAACUACGUGCCAGCCGCCGCCGUAA
rnacentral:rRNA from 1 species